GACGAACGCUGGCGGCGUGCCUAAUACAUGCAAGUCGAACGCAGUUGCGAACGGGUGAGUAACGCGUAGGUAACUGCCUCAUUGCGGGGGAUAACUAUUUGAAACGAUAGCUAAUACCGCCUACUGUGAGAUGGACCUGCGUUGUAUUAGCUAGUUGGUGAGGUAAAGGGUCCCCAAGGCGACGAUACAUAGCCGACCUUAGAGGGAGGUCGGCCAAAAUGGGAAUGAGACACGGCUCAGACUCCUUCGGGGGGGAGCAGGAGGGAAUCUUCGGCAAUGGAGGGAAGUCUGGACGAGCAAAGGCGCGGGAGUGAAGAAGGUUCUUGGAGUGUAAAGCUCUGUUGUGAGAGAAGCGGUAACUAAACAGAAAGGGACGGCUAACUACGUGCCAGCAGCCGCGGUAAUUC
rnacentral:rRNA from 1 species